GGUCAAGCUACAAAGGGCUCACGGUGGAUACCUUGGCACACAGAGGCGAUGAAGGACGUGGUUACCUGCGAUAAGUCUCGGGGAGCUGGAAACACGCUUUGAUCCGGGAAUUUCCGAAUGGGGCAACCCCUAGAACGGCCGCCUGAAUCCAUAGGGCGGUGCGAGCCAACCCAGCGAACUCGUGGUUACCUGCGAUAAGUCUCGGGGAGCUGGAAACACGCUUUGAUCCGGGAAUUU
rnacentral:rRNA from 1 species